UCCUCAAUAGCUCAGUGGUAGAGCAAUUGGCUGUUAACCAAUAGGUCGUAGGUUCAAACCCUGCUUGGGGAG
rnacentral:tRNA from 1 species